rnacentral:rRNA from 1 species
CCUACGGGUGGCAGCAGUGGGGGAUAUUGCACAAUGGGGGGAACCCUGAUGCAGCGACGCCGCGUGGGUGAAGAAGCGCCUCGGCGCGUCAAGCUCUAUCAGCAGGGAAGAAAAUGACGGUACCUGACUAAGAAGCCCCGGCUAACUACGUGCCAGCAGCCGCGGUAAUACGUAGGGGGCAAGCGUUAUCCGGAUUUACUGGGUGUAACGGGAGCGUAGACGGUCCUGCAAGCCAGAUGUGAAAGCCCGGGGCGCAACCCCGGGACUGCAUUUGGAACUGUAAGGCUAGAGUGUCGGAGAGGCAGGCGGAAUUCCUAGUGUAGCGGUGAAAUGCGUAGAUAUUAGGAGGAACACCAGUGGCGAAGGCGGCCUGCUGGACGAUGACUGACGUUGAGGCUCGAAAGCGUGGGUAGCAAACAGGAUUAGAUACCCCGGUAGUC